GACGAACGCUGGCGGCGUGCUUAACACAUGCAAGUCGAACGGAAAGGCCCUGCUUUUGUGGGGUGCUCGAGUGGCGAACGGGUGAGUAACACGUGAGUAACCUGCCCUUGACUUUGGGAUAACUUCAGGAAACUGGGGCUAAUACCGGAUAGGAGCUCCUGCUGCAUGGUGGGGGUUGGAAAGUUUCGGCGGUUGGGGAUGGACUCGCGGCUUAUCAGCUUGUUGGUGGGGUAGUGGCUUACCAAGGCUUUGACGGGUAGCCGGCCUGAGAGGGUGACCGGCCACAUUGGGACUGAGAUACGGCCCAGACUCCUACGGGAGGCAGCAGUGGGGAAUAUUGCACAAUGGGCGGAAGCCUGAUGCAGCAACGCCGCGUGCGGGAUGACGGCCUUCGGGUUGUAAACCGCUUUCGCCUGUGACGAAGCGUGAGUGACGGUAAUGGGUAAAGAAGCACCGGCUAACUACGUGCCAGCAGCCGCGGUGAUACGUAGGGUGCGCGCGUUGUCCGGAUCUAUUGGGCGUAAAGGGCUCGUAGGUGGUUGAUCGCGUCGGAAGUGUAAUCUUGGGGCUUAACCCUGAGCGUGCUUUCGAUACGGGUUGACUUGAGGAAGGUAGGGGAGAAUGGAAUUCCUGGUGGAGCGGUGGAAUGCGCAGAUAUCAGGAGGAACACCAGUGGCGAAGGCGGUUCUCUGGGCCUUUCCUGACGCUGAGGAGCGAAAGCGUGGGGAGCGAACAGGCUUAGAUACCCUGGUAGUCCACGCUGUAAACGGUGGGUACUAGGUGUGGGGUCCAUUCCACGGGUUCCGUGCCGUAGCUAACGCUUUAAGUACCCCGCCUGGGGAGUACGGCCGCAAGGCUAAAACUCAAAGGAAUUGACGGGGCCCCGCACAAGCGGCGGAGCAUGCGGAUUAAUUCGAUGCAACGCGUAGAACCUUACCUGGGUUUGACAUGGAUCGGGAGUGCUCAGAGAUGGGUGUGCCUCUUUUGGGGUCGGUUCACAGGUGGUGCAUGGCUGUCGUCAGCUCGUGUCGUGAGAUGUUGGGUUAAGUCCCGCAACGAGCGCAACCCUUGUUCACUGUUGCCAGCACGUUAUGGUGGGGACUCAGUGGAGACCGCCGGGGUCAACUCGGAGGAAGGUGGGGAUGACGUCAAGUCAUCAUGCCCCUUAUGUCCAGGGCUUCACGCAUGCUACAAUGGCUGGUACAGAGAGUGGCGAGCCUGUGAGGGUGAGCGAAUCUCGGAAAGCCGGUCUCAGUUCGGAUUGGGGUCUGCAACUCGACCUCAUGAAGUCGGAGUCGCUAGUAAUCGCAGAUCAGCAACGCUGCGGUGAAUACGUUCCCGGGGCU
rnacentral:rRNA from 1 species